rnacentral:lncRNA from 1 species
GAAACUAAUUAAACCAAGGGAAAUUAGAUUCGGAAAAUCAAACAACUGGAAAUUAAUUCACAAAUGCACCAUAACCAUUAUAUCACCACAUAAACACAUAUAAAGAAAAUUAUAUCUUAACCUAGCUCUUGGGUGCCUAAAUUCACAAACAGAAAAUUGAGGAAGAUGAAUUAGCAAGGACAAGAACCUGUUUAAACGAAUACAAGUAUUAUUAUGUGUAUAUGUGCUUUUGGAGGAAGGAUCUGUUGGUUUUCUGAAGGAGAAGCAGCAGCUUCUUUUGUUAUGCCUGCUCUAAGUUCUAUCCAGAAGAAGACGAUGUGGGGUUGGUUCUGUUUUUGUUGCGCAGCUUCUCCCUUUUUUUCAGGCGUCCUUUUGUGUCAAUUAUAUCUAGGUUUUUGUUUGUUU